AGUGAACGCUGGCGGUAGGCCUAACACAUGCAAGUCGAACGGCAGCACAGUAAGAGCUUGCUCUUACGGGUGGCGAGUGGCGGACGGGUGAGGAAUACAUCGGAAUCUACUUUUUCGUGGGGGAUAACGUAGGGAAACUUACGCUAAUACUGCAUACGACCUACGGUUGAAAGCAGGGGAUCUUCGGACCUUGCGCGAUUGAAUGAGCCGAUGUCGGAUUAGCUAGUUGGCGGGGUAAAGGCCCACCAAGGCGACGAUCCGUAGCUGGUCUGAGAGGAUGAUCAGCCACACUGGAACUGAGACACGGUCCAGACUCCUACGGGAGGCAGCAGUGGGGAAUAUUGGACAAUGGGCGCAAGCCUGAUCCAGCCAUACCGCGUGGGUGAAGAAGGCCUUCGGGUUGUAAAGCCCUUUUGUUGGGAAAGAAAAGCAGCAGGUUAAUACCCCGCUGUUCUGACGGUACCCAAAGAAUAAGCACCGGCUAACUUCGUG
rnacentral:rRNA from 1 species